UGCCCCUCACUUGCCAAUACGUCUAGAUCAGCCAGGGCGUCGGCAUGUGUAGCGUAUUAUGUUGGGCUCUCUCGAGAUAAGGAUACGAUGUCCCUUUAUCGGUUGGUUUCCUGUGUGUGCGGCCCGUUUGGUUUUUUUGUUACUUUCGCAUCGUUCGGUGCAUUCUGGGGGCUGUGUUGGCUUUUGGUGGCUUGCUUGGCCUUUUGGCUUUGCUUGUUGCUACUUGUCGGGCUGCUUUCGGGAAUGUCGACCGUGGAGGUGCAUGAGUGGUGUUUGGUUUGUUACGUGUGGAUGGCUGUUUGCUUGUGCAACAACGUUCACGCUGCAUACCUCUUCAGUUUUGCGGCAAGGCUUGGUUUGGCUUGUGCAUAUUGUGGGUUUCCUGUGUUGCAUACCUAGUUGAUGGAAAAGUGUGGGUUUUACGAUUUUCAUUUUCGUCUUGCGUCGUUCUUUUGGCGUGGGAUGAACAAUGAAGCGAUCUUUAUGAUCCAUCGUGCUGUUGCGUUUGCAACAAUGAUGUGGCCUAUGAAGCAUCGUUUGGUCUCUUGUAUACGGAAGCUCAUUUGGGCUUGGGUCUUUAUAAGAUCUUCGUUACGCCCUUGUUAAGCGUUCUCGCUUCUCCUAAACGAUUG
rnacentral:misc_RNA from 1 species